rnacentral:rRNA from 1 species
GACGAACGCUGGCGGCGUGCUUAACACAUGCAAGUCGAACGGAAAGGCCCUGCUUUUGUGGGGUGCUCGAGUGGCGAACGGGUGAGUAACACGUGAGUAACCUGCCCUUGACUUUGGGAUAACUUCAGGAAACUGGGGCUAAUACCGGAUAGGAGCUCCUGCUGCAUGGUGGGGGUUGGAAAGUUUCGGCGGUUGGGGAUGGACUCGCGGCUUAUCAGCUUGUUGGUGGGGUAGUGGCUUACCAAGGCUUUGACGGGUAGCCGGCCUGAGAGGGUGACCGGCCACAUUGGGACUGAGAUACGGCCCAGACUCCUACGGGAGGCAGCAGUGGGGAAUAUUGCACAAUGGGCGGAAGCCUGAUGCAGCAACGCCGCGUGCGGGAUGACGGCCUUCGGGUUGUAAACCGCUUUCGCCUGUGACGAAGCGUGAGUGACGGUAAUGGGUAAAGAAGCACCGGCUAACUACGUGCCAGCAGCCGCGGUGAUACGUAGGGUGCGAGCGUUGUCCGGAUUUAUUGGGCGUAAAGGGCUCGUAGGUGGUUGAUCGCGUCGGAAGUGUAAUCUUGGGGCUUAACCCUGAGCGUGCUUUCGAUACGGGUUGACUUGAGGAAGGUAGGGGAGAAUGGAAUUCCUGGUGGAGCGGUGGAAUGCGCAGAUAUCAGGAGGAACACCAGUGGCGAAGGCGGUUCUCUGGGCCUUUCCUGACGCUGAGGAGCGAAAGCGUGGGGAGCGAACAGGCUUAGAUACCCUGGUAGUCCACGCUGUAAACGGUGGGUACUAGGUGUGGGGUCCAUUCCACGGGUUCCGUGCCGUAGCUAACGCUUUAAGUACCCCGCCUGGGGAGUACGGCCGCAAGGCUAAAACUCAAAGGAAUUGACGGGGCCCCGCACAAGCGGCGGAGCAUGCGGAUUAAUUCGAUGCAACGCGUAGAACCUUACCUGGGUUUGACAUGGAUCGGGAGUGCUCAGAGAUGGGUGUGCCUCUUUUGGGGUCGGUUCACAGGUGGUGCAUGCCUGUCGUCAGCUCGUGUCGUGAGAUGUUGGGUUAAGUCCCGCAACGAGCGCAACCCUUGUUCACUGUUGCCAGCACGUUAUGGUGGGGACUCAGUGGAGACCGCCGGGGUCAACUCGGAGGAAGGUGGGGAUGACGUCAAGUCAUCAUGCCCCUUAUGUCCAGGGCUUCACGCAUGCUACAAUGGCUGGUACAGAGAGUGGCGAGCCUGUGAGGGUGAGCGAAUCUCGGAAAGCCGGUCUCAGUUCAGAUUGGGGUCUGCAACUCGACCUCAUGAAGUCGGAGUCGCUAGUAAUCGCAGAUCAGCAACGCUGCAGUGAAUACGUUCCCGGGGCU